rnacentral:lncRNA from 1 species
UGGAUGUGGCAGGUGAUUCCAGUGAUUAUGACAUGCAUUUUGAAUUACAUAAUCUGAUCUACCCAAACUAAUCACUAUCAAAUUUUGCCCACUCAUUGAAUUUGAAAUGGAGCCAUUCUUGAACAUGCUCCCUCUAGAUUACAAUCCUCCUUCAACUAGUGACACCUCAAUGGGUUUUGCCAAUAAGCCGAUCUCAUUCUUAUUUAUUUCUCAGCUCACUGUUGCCUUAUGGUGUCCAUGAGGAUUUUCACCAAUAAGACUCUCAUUUUUUAUUGUUCUCACAACUCACUGUCGCCUUAUGGUGUCCACAAUAUGAAACCUCAUAUACUCAUACAUGUUUAGUCUUGACAUUCUCUAAGAUUGAUCUGAAGGUAUUUCUUCGAUUGUCUUGGCUUAUGGAUAGGGUAAGAAAGAAAGGAUGGCAUAAGGCUCAAAAAUAUACAUGACAUUAGGUGAAGCAUACAAUUUUUGAAAUCAACUCUUAAGGAAAUAAAUUUUUGCCCCAGUUUUAUUUCAUACUAGGUAGAUUAAAUUUUUACUUGGUUGGACCGGACCCCAGAAUAGGGCUGCCUACGUAUCUUGUCAUAGCAAGAAUCAGGUCAAACGUAGUUCAGACAAGUCAUUCUCUCUUUUUUCUUAAAUGAACUUGGGCUCUCAUUUCUUUUCUUUGAUUCUUUUUUUUUCAGUUCCAUUUUUUUUUCUUGAAAUUUUUUUCUCUGACUCCAUUUUCUUCUUGAUGCACAUUUUUUUAUUUAUUUAUUUUGACUUCAUUUUUUCUUGACAUUUUUCUGACUCCAUUUUUCUUGACACCUUCUUUUUUAUUUUUUUCAAACUCUAUUUUGAUUUCAAAAGAGGGGUAUGAAAUAAAAUAAAA